rnacentral:rRNA from 1 species
AUGGUAGGAUAGAGGCCUACCAUGGUGGUAACGGGUAACGGGGUGUUAGGGCACGACACCGGAGAGGGAGCCUGAGAAACGGCUACCACAUCCAAGGAAGGCAGCAGGCGCGCAAAUUACCCAAUCCCGACACGGGGAGGUAGUGACAAUAAAUAACAAUACAGGGUUCUUUGAAUCUUGUAAUUGGAAUGAGUACAAUUUAAAUCUCUUAACGAGGAACAAUUGGAGGGCAAGUCUGGUGCUAGCAGCCGCGGUAAUUCCAGCUCCAAUAGCGUAUAUUAAAGUUGUUGCAGUUAAAAAGCUCGUAGUUGAAUUUCGGGAUCAAUACGUCGGUCGUGCUUUCGGGUACGUACUGGCGUCAUUGGUUUCUCCUUUCUGACGAACCAUGAUGUCAUUAAUUUGGUGUUAUGGGGAGUUAGGACUGUUACUUUGAAAAAAUUAGAGUGUUUAAAGCAGGCAUUAGCUUGAAUACAUUAGCAUGGAAUAAUGAAAUAGGACGUUCGAUCCUAUUUUGUUGGUUUCUAGGAUCAACGUAAUGAUUAAUAGGGAUAGUUGGGGGCAUUAGUAUUCAAUUGUCAGAGGUGAAAUUCUUGGAUUUAUUGAAGACUAACUACUGCGAAAGCAUUUGCCAAGGAUGUUUUCAUUAAUCAAGAACGAAAGUUAGGGGAUCGAAGACGAUCAGAUACCGUCGUAGUCUUAACCAUAAACUAUGCCGACUAGGGAUCGGAUGAUGUUAAUUUUUUAAUGACUCAUUCGGCGCCUUACGGGAAACCAAAGUGUUUGGG